rnacentral:rRNA from 1 species
CAGUAGCCACGGUAAUGCGAAGGGGGCUAGCGUUGUUCGGAUUUACUGGGCGUAAAGGGCGCGUAGGCGGGCGAAUAAGUCAGGGGUGAAAUCCCAAGGCUCAACCUUGGAACUGCAUUUGAUACUGUUUGUCCUGAGUUCGAGAGAGGUAAGUGGAACUGCGAGUGUAGAAGUGAAAUUCGUAGAUAUUCGCAAGAACACCAGUGGCGAAGGCGGCUUACUGGCUCGAAACUGACGCUGAGGCGCGAAAGCGUGAGGAGCAAACAGGAUUAGAUACCCCUGUAGUCCCUGUCUCUUAUAA